rnacentral:rRNA from 1 species
GACGAACGCUGGCGGCGUGCUUAACACAUGCAAGUCGAACGAUGAACCGGUUUCGGCCGGGGAUUAGUGGCGAACGGGUGAGUAACACGUGGGCAAUCUGCCCUGCAUUCUGGGAUAAGCCCGGGAAACUGGGUCUAAUACCGGAUACGACACUCCGAGGCAUCUUGGGGUGUGGAAAGUUCCGGCGGUGCAGGAUGAGCCCGCGGCCUAUCAGCUUGUUGGUGGGGUAAUGGCCUACCAAGGCGACGACGGGUAGCCGGCCUGAGAGGGUGACCGGCCACACUGGGACUGAGACACGGCCCAGACUCCUACGGGAGGCAGCAGUGGGGAAUAUUGCACAAUGGGCGAAAGCCUGAUGCAGCGACGCCGCGUGAGGGAUGACGGCCUUCGGGUUGUAAACCUCUUUCAGCAGGGAAGAAGCGAAAGUGACGGUACCUGCAGAAGAAGCACCGGCUAACUACGUG